GGAUCGAUGAUGACUCCCCCAAAUGCAUUCCUUGGAAAUCUGAACAAAAUGAGUGAGCCAUCCCUACCGUCUCCUCAUCGGAACUGAGGUCU
ensembl:snoRNA SNORD116 Small nucleolar RNA SNORD116